rnacentral:tRNA from 1 species
GUAGAGAUUAUCAAGAGGUAUGAGAAGGCGCACGCUUGGAAAGCGUGUAUACGAGCAAUCGUAUCAAGGGUUCGAAUCCCUUUCUCUCCGCCA